UACGUAGGUGGCAAGCGUUGUCCGGAUUUACUGGGCGUAAAAAGCGCGCAGGCGGUCGGAUAAGUCGAAUGUGAAAGCCCCUGGCUCAACCAGGGAGGGUCAUUCGAUACUGUUCGACUCGAAGGCAGGAGAGGGAAGUGGAAUUCCGGGUGUAGUGGUGAAAUGCGUAGAUAUCCGGAGGAACACCAGUGGCGAAGGCGACUUUCUGGCCUGUUCUUGACGCUGAGGCGCGAAAGCUAGGGGAGCAAACGGG
rnacentral:rRNA from 1 species